GACAGAGGCCUCAAGCGUUAGGCGGAAUCACUGGGCUUAAAGCGUGUGUAGGCGGAUCGUUAAGUGCCUUGUGAAAUCCCACGGCUUAACUGUGGAACGGCUGGGCAUACUGGCGGUCUUGAGCCAUCUAGGGGCGACUGGAACAAACGGUGGAGCGGUGAAAUGCGUAGAUAUCGUUUGGAACGCCAAUGGUGAAAACAGGUCGCUGGGGAUGAGCU
rnacentral:rRNA from 1 species